GAGGAUAUAGCUCAGUGGUAGAGUGCCUGCUUAGCAUGCAUGAGGUCCUGGGUUCAAUCCCCAGUACCUCCA
rnacentral:tRNA from 1 species